rnacentral:rRNA from 1 species
UACGGGGGGGGCAAGCGUUGUUCGGAAUUACUGGGCGUAAAGGGCUCGUAGGCGGCCAACUAAGUCAUACGUGAAAUCCCUCGGCUUAACCGGGGAACUGCGUCUGAUACUGGAUGGCUUGAGUUCGGGAGAGGGAUGCGGAAUUCCAGGUGUAGCGGUGAAAUGCGUAGAUAUCUGGAGGAGCACCGGUGGCGAAGGCGGCAUCCUGGACCGAUACUGACGCUGAGGAGCGAAAGCCAGGGGAGCAAACAGG